rnacentral:rRNA from 1 species
GCAAGAUACCACGGGCGCACGGCGGAUGCCUUGGCACAGGGAGCCGAUGAAGGACGCGGCAAGCUGCGAUAAUCCCCGGCGAGGAGCACACAUCCUUCGACCCGGGGGUCUCCGAAUGGGCGAACCCAUGCACAGCGGUGUGCAUAUCCCCGGCCCGAACACAUAGGGCCGGGGAGGACAACCCGGGGAACUGAAACAUCUAAGUACCCGGAGGAGAGGAAAUCAAUCUCGAGACUCCCCGAGUAGCGGCGAGCGAAAGGGGACCGAUGGCCAAACCGUCGAGCGGGCAUACCCGGCAGGGGUUCCGCCGACGGGGUUGCAGGGCCGCGCAUCCGGGGGCUGCCGCCCCCGGGCGCAGGUCCGGCUGGGGAGCGGAACGGCAUGGGAGGGCCGGCCGCAGCGGGUGACAGCCCCGUACGCGAACCCAGACCGGACGGCGCGACGCGGUCCCUGAGUAGGGCCGGGCACGUGAAACCCGGUCCGAACCUGGGUGGACCACCAUCCAAGCCUGAGUACUACCCUGUGACCGAUAGCGCACCAGUACCGUGAGGGAAAGGUGAAAAGCACCCCGGGAGGGGAGUGAAACAGUACCUGAAACCGUGCGCCCACGAGCAGUCGGAGCAACUUUAUGUUGUGACGGCGUGCCUUUUGUAGAAUGAGCCAGCGAGUCGCUGGCGCGGGGCGAGGUUAACCGAAAGGGAGCCGGAGCGAAAGCGAGCCUUAACAGGGCGACUUGAGUCCCGCGCCGCGGACGCGAAGCCGGGUGAGCUAUCCGUGGGCAGGCUGAAGCGGGGGUAAGACCCCGUGGAGGGCCGAACGCACGUCGGUUGAAAACGGCGGCGAUGACCUGCGGAUAGGGGUGAAAGGCCAAUCAAACCCGGAGAUAUCUCGUUCUCCCCGAAAUAGCUUUAGGGCUAGCGUCGCGCGUUCACCGCCGGAGGUAGAGCACCGGAUGGACGAGGGGGCUUCGCCGCCUACCGAAUCCAACCGAACUCCGAAUGCCGGCGGCCCAGAGCGCGGCAGUCAGAGCAUGUGGGCUAAGCUGUGUGCUCGAGAGGGAAACAGCCCGGACCGCCCGCUAAGGUCCCCAAGUUCCAGCCGAGUGGCAAAGGAUGUGCGUCCGCCCAGACAACCAGGAUGUUGGCUUAGAAGCAGCCAUCCAUUCAAAGAGUGCGUAACAGCUCACUGGUCGAGUGGACAUGCGCCGACAAUACACGGGGCUAAGCUGGACACCGAAGCGGCGGGAUUCUAAUUCAUUAGAAUCGGUAGGGGAGCUUCCCAUGGGCGGAGAAGCCGGAGGGCGACCGACGGUGGAGCGCAUGGGAGUGAGAAUGCUGGCAUGAGUAGCGAGAGACGAGAGAGUAACUCGUCCGCCGUGAACCCGAGGUUUCCUGGGCAAGGCUAAUCCUCCCAGGGUCAGUCGGGGGCUAAGGCGAGGCCGGUAGGCGUAGCCGACGCGCAGCAGGCAGACAUUCCUGCACCGCGCACGCGGCGCUACGACCGACGGGGCGACGGAUGGGGGUGGCUCGGCGGGGUUCUGGACGUCCCCGUGAUGGAGCGCGGCCCGCGGACCAGGGAAAUCCGGUCCGCAUUGAGGGCGAGGCUCCGGACGAAGCGACUGAGCGAAGCGAGUGAGCCCGAGGUCCCUAGAAAAACCCCUAGGCAGGCGCGUGCGCGCCCGUACCGCAAACCGACACAGGUGGGUGGGUAGAACAUACCGAGGCGAUCGGGUCAACCAUGGUCAAGGAACUCGGCACAAUGGCCCCGUAACUUCGGGAGAAGGGGUGCCCGCGCGUACGUGAACCGGCUUGCCCGGGGAGCGGAGGCGGGCCGCAGUGGAGAGGCCCAAGCGACUGUUUACCAAAAACACAGGACUCUGCAGAAGCCGCAAGGCGACGUAUAGGGUCUGACGCCUGCCCGGUGCCGGAAGGUCACGCGGAGGAGUUAGCGCAUCGCGCGAAGCCCCGAAGCCAAGCCCCGGUAAACGGCGGCCGUAACUAUAACGGUCCUAAGGUAGCGAAAUUCCUUGUCGGGU